rnacentral:rRNA from 1 species
AUGGUUGCUGCGGUUAAAGGCUCGCAGUUGAAUGUCAGUUAUAAUACGCGAUGAGAUGCCGGGACGUUGUUCGUGUGUUGACCCCGUGUCUCGCUCGUUCCGUCCCCUGAGCGCAUUUCUCGCAAUCUAACAAUAAUUACAGAGCCCGUCGCUGAUGUGCACAAGUGUCUUCCGACAUGUAUGUCGGCGAUAGCUCCGUAGUUGACACCUUGAGUAAAUCAGAGUGCUUAACGCAGUCGUUUAUAUAUCGGUUGCUUGCCCGUGCUUGUCGCGAGUGAGUGUGCUGAUGGCGGAUUUUCCGUUUUGACAUUGUCUUUGCUUUGCAUGGUACGUCGAAAGACGCCGUGUAAGUUGGUUGCGCUUACGGCUAGACGCAUAGUUUUGUGUGCGCGUGCGCCAACGAGCACGGAAUGAUAUGAAAGGGAUGGUUCGAAGGCAUUGGUAUUGCGAGGCGAGAGGUGAAAUUCGGUGACCCUCGCAAGACUCCCCGAAGCGAAAGCGUCUGCCUAGGACGUCUUCAUUAAUCAUGAACGAAAGUUGAAGGAUCGAAGGCGAUCAGAUACCGCCCUAGUUUUAACCGUAAACUAUACCAACCAUCAAUCCGUCGGAGCGUUCCCUUACUCCCGGAUGCGUUUCGGCGUAUCCGUGGACAAGUGUAAGCUCGAUGGGCAGCUUCUCUACUACGGAAAACCAGAGUUUUUCGGUUCCGGGGGGAGUCUGGUUGCAAAGCUGAAACUUAAAGGAAUUGACGGAAAGGCACCACCAGGCGUGGAGCUUGCGGCUCAAUUUGACUCAACACGGGAAAUCUCACCAGACCCAAACAUCUUUAAUGACUGACAGACUGAAAGCUCUUUCUUGAUAAAGUGGAUGGUGGUGCAUGGCCGUUCUUAGUUGGUGGAGUGAUCUGUCUGGUUAAUUCCGAUAACGAACGAGACUCUCCCCUGCUAACGAACCUUGUGUUCUUGUAGACAGUGUGAUUCGAAUCAUGAAUAAAUGCUCGCGAGAGUCUAUUCUGACGAUGUCCACUGAUCCUUGUUGCGUCGUGAGUGGUACUAAGUUGGGUACUCGUUGUAUUGGAUGUAGGACUCACGUCUGGCGUCUUUUGCUUGCGAUGUUCCCUCUCAGUCCCUUUCGGCUGUGGCUCGGAGUAUUUUUCUUCUUAGAGGGAUUGUCGGCUAAUAAGUCGAAAGAAACAGAGAGCAAUAACAGGUCUGUGAUGCCCUUAGAUGUUCUGGGCUGCACGCGUGUUACAAUGCCGGGAUCAACGGGCUAUUACACAUCUCGUGUCCUACUCCGAAAGGAGCGGGUAAACCUUUGAAAUCCCUGACGCGUUAUAGACACGUUCUAUCCGCACUUUGGCUUGCUUGGGAUUGGGGCUUGCAACUAUUCCCCAUGAACGAGGAAUGCCUUGUAGUGGCGAGUCACAGAGCUCGCUGCGACUCUGUCCCUGCCCUUUGUACACACCGCCCGUCGCUACUACCGAUUGAGUGUACCAGUGAGAUGCUUGGACUGGCGAACCGAUGUCGCAAGACUCGGCGUACGACAAAAAGAGACUCGAACUGGUGCACUAGAGGAA